GAUGAACGCUGGCGGCGUGCCUAAUACAUGCAAGUCGAGCGAACAGACGAGAGGGCUUGCCCUCUCUGACGUUAGCGGCGGACGGGUGAGUAACACGGGGGUAACCUACCUAUAAGACGGAGAUAACUGCGGGAAACGGGAGCUAAUACCGGAUAAUAUUUAGCUUCGUAUUUAGAAAUAGAGAAAGACGUUUCUGGUGUCUCUUAUAGAGAGACCCGCGGUGUAUUAGAUAGUUGGUGAGGUAACGGCUCACCAAGGCAACGAUACAUAGCCGACCUGAGAGGGUGAUCGGCCACACUGGGACUGAGACACGGCCCAGACUCCUACGGGAGGCAGCAGUAGGGAAUCUUCCGCAAUGGACGAAAGCCUGACGGAGCAAUGCCGCGUGAGUGAAGAAGGUUUUCGGAUCGUAAAACUCUGUUGUAAGGGAAGAACAAAUACGUAAGUAACUGAACAUACCUUGACGGUACCUUACCAGAAAGCCACGGCUAACUACGUG
rnacentral:rRNA from 1 species